rnacentral:rRNA from 1 species
CUUUCCUGCAGUCGACGGCAGCGCGGGGCAACCUGGCGGCGAGUGGCGAACGGGUGAGUAAUAUAUCGGAACGUACCCAGAAGUGGGGGAUAACGUAGCGAAAGUUACGCUAAUACCGCAUACGAUCUACGGAUGAAAGUGGGGGACCUUCGGGCCUCAUGCUUUUGGAGCGGCCGAUAUCUGAUUAGCUAGUUGGUGAGGUAAAGGCUCACCAAGGCGACGAUCAGUAGCUGGUCUGAGAGGACGACCAGCCACACUGGAACUGAGACACGGUCCAGACUCCUACGGGAGGCAGCAGUGGGGAAUUUUGGACAAUGGGCGCAAGCCUGAUCCAGCAAUGCCGCGUGAGUGAAGAAGGCCUUCGGGUUGUAAAGCUCUUUUGUCAGGGAAGAAACGGCUGAGGAUAAUACCUUCGGCUAAUGACGGUACCUGAAGAAUAAGCACCGGCUAACUACGUGCCAGCAGCCGCGGUAAUACGUAGGGUGCAAGCGUUAAUCGGAACUACUGGGCGUAAAGCGUGCGCAGGCGGUUUUGUAAGUCUGACGUGAAAUCCCCGGGCUCAACCUGGGAAUUGCGUUGGAGACUGCAAGGCUGGAGUCUGGCAGAGGGGGGUAGAAUUCCACGUGUAGCAGUGAAAUGCGUAGAGAUGUGGAGGAACACCGAUGGCGAAGGCAGCCCCCUGGGUCAAGACUGACGCUCAUGCACGAAAGCGUGGGGAGCAAACAGGAUUAGAUACCCUGGUAGUCCACGCCCUAAACGAUGUCUACUAGUUGUCGGGUCUUAAUUGACUUGGUAACGCAGCUAACGCGUGAAGUAGACCGCCUGGGGAGUACGGUCGCAAGAUUAAAACU